CAUGUCACCUCUCUCUAGGCCUCAGAAGGGGGCAGGUAGGAAGCGGACUACCUCCCAGGACUGUGAGGGUCCCCUGCAAUGGUGCGUGGGGUGCACUAGGUGACCCCUGACAGAUGGGCACACCCCAUGGGAUGGGAGGUGUUGUUGCCUGGGGGUUUGGUUCAGAUCCCCACUCCCCUGCUGGCCUGGCGGUCACCACACCAUGGGGGCCUAUUUCCCCAGCUAUGACACACUCGCCCCCACUUCCUGGACAGGAGGGUGGGAAUGGGCCCAGCAGCCAGGAAAUUCUGGCCCAUGGGGCCUCCUGAGUCCCUGCUGUCAACUCCAGGCACUGCCUGGCCAUGUGGCCUCUAGGGGAAGGUUACUGAGCUCCCCCAAGCCACAGCGAUAACAAGGCCAAAGAGCUGGCACAUGGAGGGGCCAGAAAAAAGAGCUCGGUCACACCACGCGGGACGUCUGACCCCACCAAGGGGAUUUGUGGGAGAGGGACAGAGGACAGGGGGCGGGAUGCACGGGAAAGGGUUAGCACAGCAGGGCCCUGGGCGGGCACAGGGCCUGGCCUGUGGCUGCAGGUAUAUUAAUAGUUCCCGGGCCCCAGGCAGGCAGUGCCCACAUGCUUCUGAGCCCGUGUGGCCCGCAGGAAGGCAGCCCGGCGUCCACAGGGAGAGGAGGCCUCCGAGUUCCUGCUGAACCACUCAACAGCUUAAAAUACAACCAGCCCCUCUCCCUGUCCAGCCAGCUGCUAGGGGGAGGGGUGAAAUCCUACCCUGCUCCCCCCAACCUGGGCACUGAACCAGGGCCCAGGAGGGAGAGUACGGCCAUCGGGGUCCCGGCUAGCUGCUGGGAGAGGACGCCAGGCUGCGGCAGGAGGGGGCGGCCGAGAGAGGGGCCACACGCACAGCUGCAGCAGCGGCGACCAGGCCAGCCUGAGCCCAAGGAGAGGAGACGCCCGAGCCUGCAAAGAGGACUCGACCUGCCCGAUGGUGAUGGGUGAGAACAGCUACCAACAGUUAUUUCACAUUCCCUGCCUGGGGCUGGAAUUGCCGCAGCUUCCCAGACGUCUCUCCUACAGCGGCCGGAGGGGAGCAGGAACCAUUAACUCCGUUUCACAGAAGAAGAGGCCAAGAUCUAAGCAGUAAAUCCCAGAGCCCAGAAGACCAUGCGUGCAUGUUCAAAGCCAGGCCAUACCCCACCACACAUGGGCCUCCAAGGCCCCCUCGCAGAGCUGAUGCAGUGCCACACAGCCCACCUCUUGAGCUCAAAGCUCCAGCAGGCUCUCUCGGACCCCACAGGGGACUGCACUCCCUGGUAGGAAGCAUCUUCUCCCAGGUCUGGGGCACAAGAGGCCUGGCUGGAGGUGCGACCCCUGGUCGGUGCAACCAGGGCCCUAAGUAAAGACACAAAGGGUCCGACAGGUCCUGCAGCUGGCCAGCCGGGCACUCACCAUCCCUGUGCCGGGCACAAGCGCUGCUGCACUCAUCGCCUGAGCUCCCUGUCCACGCAAUGCCCAGCACAGAGGUCGGAGGCCUGGCCCGAUCAUGCCCAGAGCCAAGCCGGCCACCUCACCCCCAUCACAAAUGCAGAGACUCUGACACAUUCAUCUGGACCCCGGCUCAGCGGGUCGGCCCCCUCGGCUCCCUUUCCUUCCCACUUCCAGAAAUAUCAAGUCAACCUGCUAAUGCCAGGAUGGCUGAGAAGACCUAGGGCUCAGCUGCCAGGAACCCUGCACAGGCCACGCCUGCUCAGCCAGAAAUACCACCUUCCCCAGUGGCCUCAGCAUGUGACCUCAUUUCUCAGCAGCACCCAGGGGUGGCCGCACCUGCCUCCCCGAGGCGCCACGGCAGAAGCAGAAUGUCACCCGGAGUGGGGAGGAACCCUGAGAGACGCUGACCUCCCACUCCCAGGCCCCUGGACCACUCUGCUCCUGUCUCCCACCCGUGCUGGCAAGUCGAGAGGUGCCAGGGUCUCAAUGCCAAUAUCCCUAGGCUCUUGGAUCUGAGACCAGGGUCAGAUGCAGAGACAGCGGUAGCCCGGGGCCCCGAGAAGCUGGAGUUGCUAUUCCCACCCAGCGGAGCCCCAAGAGAGCAGGGAGCAAUCCAGCCUUGGAGGAUGGUCCUCGGACGCAUGAGCUCCCGGCUUGCGCAAUGCAGCCACAGGAGUCGGAGGACGAAUAUGGCACAGGACAAACACAACGGGAAGUCGGAAAACCUGGGUCUCAGCCCUGGGCCUGCCCCCAUUCUCCGUGGCACCCAUGGCCUACGCCCCCUCCCUGGGGCUGUGCCCUCGGGCCUCCAAGGAGCACUGGCCCACGCAGAGCGGCACUGCUCUGGCCUGUUUCAUUCAGAUGUGCCACCAGCAGUGACAUCUAUCAGAUGCUCACCCCGUACCUGGGGCUGUGCUGAGACCGCCACCCAGGCCUCACCCAGGCAAAGGACUGUGAUGCCUGUUAAGUGGCUCGGAAAACUGGGGCUUGGGAACGAGGAAGCCCUUGCCCGAGCUCAGGGCAGGAAGGCGCUGUCGGACCAGGAAGCUGGAAGGGGGCCAGAGGCUGAGCCCUGCGGACACAAACUGACUGAAGGAGCCAAGCCCCCCACUGCCCAAGUCCAGCAGACAGGUUAGUCCACCCCCAUGAGCUCAGCUUGCCAAAUAGCCUAGACUGGGAUCUAUGUGUCUGGCCUUAUACAAGCGGCAGCAGCUACCACCACCCGCCCACUCACAACCAGCCAGGCACCGAGGCUCAUCCUCAACACGAAUCAUCUCCUUUGCAAUGUAUUCAUCCUCUUUUGCAGAUAAGGAAACUGAGGCUUGUUUGUUCACUGACACAUGCCAGGCACUGUUAAGAACUUUGGGGUUCAGCUAUAGAAGGAAAGACAAAAAUCCUUGCUCGCAUGAAACUGACAUCUUAGCAAAGAAAGAAUGACAAUGAAAUAAAUCGCUGUAAGUAAUAUAUUCAAACGUGACAUGUGACAUGGAAAGAA